UUUUAAGUUAAUAAGUGCAUACGGUGGAUGCCUUGGCACAGAGAGGCGAUGAAGGACGUCGUUACCAACGAAAUUUCUUGACGAGCUGGAAACAAGCUUUGACUCAAGAGUCUCCGAAUGGGGAAACCCGGCAGAAGUCAUUUUCUGUCACUGAAAAGAGCUAACGUAGGGAAGUGAAACAUCUCAGUACCUGCAGGAAAAAAAAUCAAAAGAGAUUCCCAAAGUAGUGGCGAGCGAAAUGGGAACAGCCCAAACCGGAGUUUAAUAAACUCCGGGGUUGUAGGACUUCAUAAGUCGUAAACUCAAUGGUAAAGAACUGUUUGGAAAGACAGACCAAAGAAAGUGAUAGUCUUGUACGUAUCAGCGAGUGAAGACGAAGUAUCCUGAGUAGCGCGAGGCACGUGAAACCUUGCGUGAAUCUGGGGGGACCAUCCUCCAAGGCUAAAUACUCCUCUGUGACCGAUAGUGAACCAGUACCGUGAGGGAAAGGUGAAAAGAACCCUUAAGAAGGG
rnacentral:rRNA from 1 species